GAUGAACGCUGACAGAAUGCUUAACACAUGCAAGUCGAUGGGGAAGUGGUGCUUGCACCAUGGUAACCAUGGCGGACGGGUGAGUAACGCGUAAGGAACUUGCCUGCGGGACUGGGAUACCAGCAGGAAACUGCUGAUAAUACCGGAUAAGGUCAUUAAGCUGCAUAGCUUAGUGAUGAAAGGAGACGACUGCGGAGAGCCUUGCGUCCUAUUAGCUAGUUGGAGGGGUAACGGCCCACCAAGGCGAAGAUAGGUAGCCGGCCUGAGAGGGUGGACGGCCACGAGGGGACUGAGAUACGGCCGUGACGCAUACGGGAGGCAGCAGGGGGGAAUAUUGGACAAUGGGGGCAACCCUGAUCCAGCAAUUCUGUGUGCACGAAGACGGUUUUCGGAUUGUAAAGUGCUUUCAGCAGGGAAGAAGGAAGUGACGGUACCUGCAGAAGAAGCGACGGCUAAAUACGUG
rnacentral:rRNA from 1 species